CCUACGGGGCAGCAGUGGGGAAUUUUGGACAAUGGGGGCAACCCUGAUCCAGCCAUGCCGCGUGAGUGAAGAAGGCCUUCGGGUUGUAAAGCUCUUUCGGCGGGGAAGAAAUGGCAACGGCUAAUAUCCGUUGUUGAUGACGGUACCCGCAUAAGAAGCACCGGCUAACUACGUGCCAGCAGCCGCGGUAAUACGUAGGGUGCGAGCGUUAAUCGGAAUUACUGGGCGUAAAGCGUGCGCAGGCGGUUUCGUAAGACAGACGUGAAAUCCCCGGGCUCAACCUGGGAACUGCGUUUGUGACUGCGAGGCUAGAGUACGGCAGAGGGGGGUAGAAUUCCACGUGUAGCAGUGAAAUGCGUAGAGAUGUGGAGGAAUACCGAUGGCGAAGGCAGCCCCCUGGGUUAGUACUGACGCUCAUGCACGAAAACGUGGGGAGCAAACAGGAUUAGAUACCCUGGUAGUCCACGCCCUAAACGAUGUCAACUAGGUGUUGGAAGGGUUAAACCUUUUAGUACCGCAGCUAACGCGUUAAGUUGAACCGCUGGGGGAGUACGGCCGCAANGGUUAAAACUCAAAAGGAAUUGACGG
rnacentral:rRNA from 1 species